UUUCUGAUCAAUUUCCUCCUAAUGAACAUUAUUUUGGUCUAGUUAAUUUUGGAAAUACCUGUUAUAGUAAUUCUGUACUACAAGCUUUAUAUUUUUGUCGACCAUUUAGAGAAAAAGUUCUAGAAUACAAAGCUAGAAAUAAGAGAACCAAGGAAACAUUAUUAACAUGUUUAGCAGAUUUGUUCUACAGUAUUGCAACUCAAAAAAAGAAAGUUGGAUCUA